rnacentral:rRNA from 1 species
CAGCCGCCGCGGUAAUACAGAGGGUGCGAGCGUUAAUCGGAUUUACUGGGCGUAAAGCGUGCGUAGGCGGCUUUUAAGUCGGAUGUGAAAUCCCUGAGCUUAACUUAGGAAUUGCAUUCGAUACUGGGAAGCUAGAGUAUGGGAGAGGAUGGUAGAAUUCCAGGCGUAGCGGUGAAAUGCGUAGAGAUCUGGAGGAAUACCGAUGGCGAAGGCAGCCAUCUGGCCUAAUACUGACGCUGAGGUACGAAAGCAUGGGGAGCAAACAGGAUUAGAUACCCGGGUAGUCCCUGUCUCUUAUACA